UUACCUCAGUAACGGCGAGUGAAGCGGUAACAGCUCAAAUUUGAAAGCUGCCAACAGGCCGCGUUGUAAUUUGUAGAAGAUGCUUUGGGUGUUGGCCUGGUCUAAGUUCCUUGGAACAGGACGUCAUAGAGGGUGAGAAUCCCGUAUGUGAUUAGUGCCUCCCCCCGUGUAAAGCUCUUUCGACGAGUCGAGUUGUUUGGGAAUGCAGCUCAAAAUGGGUGGUAAAUUUCAUCUAAAGCUAAAUAUUGGCCAGAGACCGAUAGCGCACAAGUAGAGUGAUCGAAAGAUGAAAAGCACUUUGGAAAGAGAGUUAAACAGUACGUGAAAUUGUUGAAAGGGAAGCGCUUGCAAUCAGACUUGCGGGCGGUCGAUCAUCCGAGGUUCUCCCCGGUGCACUCGAUCGCCCUCAGGCCAGCAUCGGUUUCGGUGGUGGGAUAAAGGCUGUGAGAAUGUGGCUCUUCGGAGUGUUAUAGCUCACGGUGCAAUGCCGCCUACCGGGACCGAGGACCGCGCUUCGGCUAGGAUGCUGGCGUAAUGGUUGUAAGCGACCCGUCUUGAAACACGGACCAAGGAGUCUAACAUCUAUGCGAGUGUUUGGGCGUCAAACCCAUACGCGUAAUGAAAGUGAACGUACCUAAGAAGUCUCUUCGACCGCAUUAGGGACCGAUCUUGAUGUCUUC
rnacentral:rRNA from 1 species